rnacentral:rRNA from 1 species
GGCUCAGAUUGAACGCUGGCGGCAUGCCUUACACAUGCAAGUCGAACGGCAGCACGGGAGCAAUCCUGGUGGCGAGUGGCGAACGGGUGAGUAAUAUAUCGGAACGUGCCCAGUCGUGGGGGAUAACGCAGCGAAAGCUGUGCUAAUACCGCAUACGAUCUACGGAUGAAAGCGGGGGAUCGCAAGACCUCGCGCGAUUGGAGCGGCCGAUAUCAGAUUAGCUAGUUGGUGGGGUAAAGGCUCACCAAGCCAACGAUCUGUAGCUGGUCUGAGAGGACGACCAGCCACACUGGAACUGAGACACGGUCCAGACUCCUACGGGAGGCAGCAGUGGGGAAUUUUUGGACAAUGGGCGCAAGCCUGAUCCAGCCAUUCCGCGUGCAGGAUGAAGGCCUUCGGGUUGUAAACUGCUUUUGUACGGAACGAAACGGUCUGCCCUAAUACGGCAGGCUAAUGACGGUACCGUAAGAAUAAGCACCGGCUAACUACGUG